AGCGAACGCUGGCGGCAGGCCUAACACAUGCAAGUCGAACGAAGUCUUCGGACUUAGUGGCGGACGGGUGAGUAACACGUGGGAACGUGCCUUUAGGUUCGGAAUAACUCAGGGAAACUUGUGCUAAUACCGAAUGUGCCCUUCGGGGGAAAGAUUUAUCGGCUUUAGAGCGGCCCGCGUCUGAUUAGCUAGUUGGUGGGGUAAAGGCUCACCAAGGCUACGAUCAGUAGCUGGUCUGAGAGGAUGACCAGCCACAUUGGGACUGAGACACGGCCCAAACUCCUACGGGAGGCAGCAGUGGGGAAUCUUGCGCAAUGGGCGAAAGCCUGACGCAGCCAUGCCGCGUGGAUGAUGAAGGUCUUAGGAUUGUAAAAUCCUUUCACCGGUGAAGAUAAUGACUGUAGCCGGAGAAGAAGCCCCGGCUAACUUCGUGCCAGCCGCCGCAGUAAUAC
rnacentral:rRNA from 1 species